UUAAUUGUAACAAAAUUGGACAUUUCGCCCGGGAGUGUAACACCCCACGAAAAAAUCGUCAACAUUUUGUAAUUUAACUGUGGGGAAGUCAGAGGCGACAAUCGAGUAAAGAAAGGGAACUGAGGGAAAACUUUGGGCGUUUAAAUUUGGGCUAUUUUCUGUUGUCUAGAUGUCGGAGUAACAAAUAAAGAUAACUGUGAAAAUAGGUAUAUUUGCGGAGAGUCUCAGUCAAAUUCAUAGCGGCUAUUAUAGUGGCGAGCGCAACAGUCUCGCCAACGGUAAUCCACGGUUCGGUUCCCGGCCGAGGCGUUUUAACUAAAAUUGAUUUUUAGAUCGUAAUUGACCUAUUUGCAUGUUUUGCCUGAAAAAUACGGUCGCCAGUGUUUGCAAAAGAUAUAACUGAACGGAUAUUAUGUGUUCUAGAUAGAAUUGAUAAAAGAAGUCAUUAAAAAUAAUGGCGAGACAAUUUCGACGUAAAACGCUAUUUCGCCCAAAAUGAUCUGGUGGAAGAAUGUAUUGAGAUGGGAGUCGUAUUUAAAUAAAUGUAUCAUAGAAGAGAGAGUUACCUAAAGUUAAAUGUAGGGGAUAACGGAGAGAUACGAUACAAUUUCGGGCUAUCUGGACGUUAUAGCAUGGGGCGUUUAAAUGUUAGGGUAUAGUAAGUUGAGAAGUUCGGUUGGGUUUACUCUGAUGAUUAGAAUUGAAAACUGAACUCAAUCUGAAUAGGGAAUAUAUAUUUUACAAAGGCAGGCAGAGUUGUGGCUAUAGCCAGCAACGGAAUUGCUAGACACUCAAUGGGGCUAUAUAGUGCAACGCUUUGGACUAUAAAUUAGGUAAGAAUAGUUUAAUCGUAAGAAGUUGUGAUUGUUUUUCUGAUUAUUGAUUUUUGGUUAAGGUAACGCCAGUGAAUUUGAACAAAAAGUAACGUAUUCUAAAAACGAUCUGUUUUCCGUUCUCAUUGUGGGUAACAAAUGAAAAGUCUUAUCUUAAAGGGACAGUGCACGGUAAUCACAGUGGUUUGAGUGUAUGACAGUGGAAAAAAUAUUGUGGGACGACAAUUCGAAGAUAGAAAAAUAAGUUACAUGAUACCUCAAGGGAUUUAAAACAAACGAUGUGAGGGGAUUAUCAUAAUUAUUAGGUUUUGUUUUUGUAGUAAACGUUUGGGUUAAGGGGAUUUCCACGUUCCCAGAGACAAGGCAUUUUUAAGGCGUGCACUCACUAAUGCUAGUCUGAGUUUGUAAUUAGACAAGUGAAUAACGUAUUGGGAAUAGAGUUGUAAUUAAAAUACUAAGUCAAAGACGAGACAGGUAUUUAGAGCAAAAUGGAUUCUAAAUGAUAACAAAGAGACAAUUAUGAUUUAUGCCCAUCGAAAAGCUUUUAUAAAAUUGGCGAAUUUAGAGAUGUUGUUUGGGGUGGUAAAUUAUAAUUCAGGAUUUGAACAGAUGUGAUAAAUUAGGUUUGGUUAAUCGAACAAUAAUUAUUUACAAUUCAUUUGAAGUCGCUACGAAUUGGCAGGUUGAGCGCUUGAUGAUGACGUCACUAGCGAGACACUUUUGUUACCAGGGACUGGGGAUAACGGAGCAAAAUGUAUGGCUGUUAGUGUGUGUAUCGGGGUUUCGAGUAACUCUUAAGAAUUUGAUAUAAAAAUGUUUUGGUUAUUUGUUUACUGGUUAUGGUCAAUUUUAGGGGUUGAUUAAACUUGAACAGUGUGUUCUGGCGGUUUUAGAUAGAACUCUUUGUUCCGGAACGGAUGAGAGUUACCCAAGAUAAGUAAAUUAAAGGAGCCAUGAGAGAAUGCGAAUGCAUAUUUAUUAAAUAUCGGGGAUUAAAUUACGGAUUCCUUACACUAUGAAAUGUACGACAUUCGCGGCAGAGAGAAAAAGUAAUGCAUUGGAUAAUAAUGUUAUAGGGUUAAUUGUAUCUAAAGGUAGCAUGGUAAUUUAAGUAAACAUAUCCGUAGACGAUGUUUAAAACUUAUGAUUAAUGAUUUGAGUCAAAGGGGAAUUAUCAUUAGGUUUUAGUAGUUCACUUAUUGAGUUUCUGAUUCGAGGUAGCAUUAGUGAAUGAUAGUUAGGGGUGUGGUGUCUCACUUUUAGAGGCCUCCUGGGAUUAUAAUUUUGGGGAGAGUGGGGGAGAGAGCAGCUUUAAACGACCAAAUUGAAAAAGGGUCUGCAAAUUAUAUAUAUAUAAAACAACUGUUAGAACGAUUUGUUUUAGUGCAAGGAGAUUUUAAAGAGGCACGCUCACAUAUGGAACCUUAUGAGAUGUUUUUUUAUGGGUUUGAAUUAUACAGGUGACUAUUUCUAUUGUAAGGAUAAAGGGAUCUUUAUGUCUAAUAUGGUAUGGCCUUUUGACCUUAUCAUGACUGGCUUCUGAGGUCCGAUCAGCCUCAGGGGAGAGUCAUUUGUAUAAUGAAUGGAGUCAUAUUGAGUUACUAGUUUUAAGGUAAAUUCAUUAGAAAUGAAGCAGUUUUGGUUGAGGGUUUAGAAUUACUGUUUGAACCGCAAAUGAGAAAGUGGUUCAGGAUUCUGUCUUAUAACAUUAGCUGUGAAGUUUUUUUGAAUGGGCUAUUAGGGAGUUGGUAUUGUAACAGAGAGAAAGUCAUAUUCAUCAUUGAGAAUAAAUAGGGGAAGAUAACAUAUUUUGAGCCAACAGGGCAGGGAAGAAAUUGAGGUCAUUUUAUUUGAUUUUAACACCCGUGUACAGGAGUGUCAAAAGACUGGGGACAUUACCUGUGUAAUGGGGGAGGGUGUCCGUAUGGGGAUUACAUGAUAACCAACUUGGGACAGUUCUGGGACUGGAGAAGAGGAUAUCCUUAUGGCAUAGGGAAUCCCACAAAGGUGGAUAGGUUUUCCAUGAUAUGGGGGAAACCUGGGAGCACUGUUGAACUUUGUAAAGGUGAUGAAAUCCUACUAACCAUCAAAACUAUUAAGCUCUCUGAUGCAGGCACUUACACCCCCGGACUACAAAGGACCGGGACAAACACGGUGGGUGUGUUUUCUAUUAAGGUACUGCCAAAGCCAGAGGUCUCAGACGAACCAGAGGGCCAGACACACUCCUCUACCACCCCUGGACCGAACCUGCCACCACUGUGUUAAAAAUCUCAUUCAGGUAAUUAAUGUUAGACUAUUCAGCUAUUGAUCAAUUAGGCACGGAGACUGGUUUUGAUGGUAGGACAAAUUGUGGCUGUCUUAUACAGAAUAGACUUGCUUAGGAUAUGCUUCUUGCUAGUCAGGGGGGAGUCUGCAAGAUGUUCGGUGAACAAUGUUGUACGUAUAUCCCUAAUAACACCAGUCCAGAUGGUAGUAUAUCUAAGGGCCUUAAUGGGCUUGAUGCACUAUCUGCUGAGAUGAGGACCAUGGCGGGGGUAGAGGAGUCUGACUGUCCACCUGGUUGGGAGCCUGGUUUGGUAAGUAUACUGGUAUGGUGGUUACUGGAUUUCUGACCCUAAUUCUUGUAUUAUUUGUUAUUGAUGUGAUGUGCUGCUUGCAUCAUACCGUGUUUUAAGAAGUCUGUUACAGAUGUGGUGAAGGCUUCAGGCAUGAUGCCUUUGCUUGAUGCUCCAGUUGGAGAGGCUGAGGUGAAGAGUGCUUUCAGGGGAGGAUAAGACUGACUGAGGAUGACCCAUGUAUGUUUGUUCUCCCUGUCGUGAAGGGUGGCAUGGUGCCCACCUGGUGCCGGAUAAGAAUAGCUGAGAGGACCAGAUGGGUUAUAAGAAUGCUUUGUUCUGCUUUACUCUGUUUUCCAGGACCAAAGUUUUAUUCCACACUUUGCAAACACAUAUUAAAUACAUGUUAUUGUCAGAUAGAAUACUGAGGGUCCCCAAGGAGAGGGCUUGUUAGUGUAGGAAGGAUUUUUAAUAUGGUUAGCAUUUAUUAGAUUAUAAGUUUUUAAAUAGUAGUAUAUAUAUAACAGGAAUAUAGGACAUCUAUGAUGAUUUAGGAUUAUUGUUAGGAUUAAGAUAGAUUGAUUAAGGACUUUAGAGAAAAGCCGCUCAUAGACAUGUUCUUUCUAAAAGAAAAUCCAUGAGUUUAGAAAGACAAACAGUGAGGCAUGUAGUUCAAAUUUGGGAAUGUGAAAAACAGCCACGGGCAGGCAGAAGAGCCCUCCCCCGCACUGCAGAGACCUUGAAGGUUGGAGAGCAGAGAAGUUUUAGAAGGGGGGCCAGAACGAGCAAAGAUAACAUAGUGUAUAGAUAAGUUACUGAGUGGAGACAAAAGUGAGAAUUGGACAUGUGGAAAAUGAAAGGGACACUCCUAAAUUGAUUUCAGACAUAAGGAUAAUUCAUUAAAUCUUAUAUAAGUCAUUGUAUAAGAAUAAGGCAAGGUUGUUACCUGGGCAGAGCCAGGUAACAAAAGGGGGAUGGGUAAAUAGUGUUCUAGAAUAGGAUGUGACCUACGGGAUAAUUAACUAAAUUUUUUUUUUUAGCUAAUUGGUUUGACGAAUAAGAAACUGUUUUAUUAACCAAACCUGUAUGUACAAGAGUUUAUGCACUACAGGUGAACUACAGGUGAAGACACUCAAUCCAGUCCCGUGGGCCACCCGGAUUCAUAUCGCACUGCGGGGGGGACUCUGGAGAGAUCAAUGACACUACAGAUGGUGCGUUAUGGGCCGAUUCCAGGUUCUGACCCGUGGAGGACUGAAGGCAUGUCUACAGAGGAAGUGGACGAAUCUGGAUCUGUCAUUUGUGGGGAAUUUAUGUUUGAUGAGAAUAGUGUUGAGAUGAAGGGGAAUUAGAUUGUAAUUUGUUUCAAUGAUUAAACUGAUUUUUAAUAAAGGUUGUAAAAAGAAAAAAAAAUCCUGAAAGAGGAGUUAUGAUUCUGAUGUAGGUUUAAAAACAGUUGGAGUUAAGGUUAGAUUUGAUUAAUGAUGGGUGAAGAGUCGGGUAAACAUUUAUAAUAAUAUAUUUGUUUUGUAGAUUUGAAUGUAUAAUAUUUGAUCAAAGGGAGGAUUGAUAGAGGAAAAUAUGGUUGAAAUGACUAAUUAUGUAUACAUUCCAAUCAGAAACUGACUAGUCCAAAUGCUAUAAUGUAAUGUACAUGUGAGUUUUCUCUCUUGCUCCCUUUCCCAAUUGUAUAUAAUGUAGUCAGGAGUUAGUAACAAUGAAGGUCUGUUCCUUAGUUCAUUCAGUUGUACAAAUCUCCAGGUGGUGGGAACGGGCCAUCUCCAGAUUGUCGGGAAUGUUGAUUUAUGCUGACUGGCCUUGACUUCGUGCUGAUAACGCGAAGGUUCGAGAGCUAGAGGGGCCCUCUGUUUGUGAAAUGGAACGUUUGGAAAACGCUGACGUCAUUUUCAGUUUAUAACCUGUGGAAAUGUGUGUAAGCAUUCAGUACUCUCUUGUAAUAAACGCUGUUACUUUUGGCUUUUAA